rnacentral:rRNA from 1 species
GAGUUUGAUCCUGGCUCAGGAUGAACGCUAGCGGCAGGCCUAACACAUGCAAGUCGAGGGGUAACAGGGAAGAGCUUGCUCUUUCGCUGACGACCGGCGCACGGGUGCGUAACGCGUAUACAACCUACCUUUUGGAGGGGAAUAGCCCAGGGAAACUUGGAUUAAUGCCCCAUAGUAUGGGAAUAUCUCCUAAUAUUUUCAUUAAACAUUUAUGGCCAUUAGAUGGGUAUGCGUCCUAUUAGUUAGUUGGUAAGGUAACGGCUUACCAAGGCAGCGAUAGGUAGGGGUCCUGAGAGGGAGAUCCCCCACACUGGUACUGAGACACGGACCAGACUCCUACGGGAGGCAGCAGUGAGGAAUAUUGGACAAUGGGCGAGAGCCUGAUCCAGCCAUGCCGCGUGCAGGAAGACUGCCCUAUGGGUUGUAAACUGCUUUUACAGAGGAAGAACCACUCUCCACGUGUGGGAGUUUGACGGUACUCUGCGAAUAAGGAUCGGCUAACUCCGUGCCAGCAGCCGCGGUAAUACGGAGGAUCCAAGCGUUAUCCGGAAUCAUUGGGUUUAAAGGGUCCGUAGGCGGGCAGUUAAGUCAGUGGUGAAAGUCUUCCGCUCAACGGGAGAACUGCCAUUGAUACUGAUUGUCUUGAGUUAUUAUGAAGUGGUUAGAAUGAGUAGUUGUAGCGGUGAAAUGCAUAGAUAUUUACUCAGAAUUACCGAUUUGCGAAGGCAGAUCACUAAUAAUAUACUGACGCUGUAUGGUACGAAGGCGUAGGUAGCGAACAGGAUUAGAUACCCUGGUAGUCUACGCCGUAAACGAUGGUUACUUAGCUGUUCGGCCCGAUUAAGGGUCUGAGUGGUUAAUUCUAAUUUUGGUAAGUUAAUCCCUCCUUGGGGAUUAC